UCCGGAGGGUGCAACCGUUGCUCGGAAUCAUUGGGCGUAAAGCGCACGUAGGCGGCUUGUUAAGUCGGAUGUGAAAGCCCCAGGCUCAACCUGGGAAGUGCAUUCGAAACUGGCGAGCUUGAAUAUGGAAGAGGGUCGCGGAAUUCCCGGUGUAGAGGUGAAAUUCGUAGAUAUCGGGAGGAACACCAGUGGCGAAGGCGGCGACCUGGGCCAAUAUUGACGCUGAGGUGCGAAAGCGUGGGGAGCAAACAGG
rnacentral:rRNA from 1 species